rnacentral:rRNA from 1 species
UACGGAGGGGACUAGCGUUGUUCGGAAUUACUGGGCGUAAAGCGCACGUAGGCGGAUUUGUAAGUCAGGGGUGAAAUCCCGGGGGCUCAACCUCGGAACUGCCUUUGAUACUGCAAAUCUCGAGUCCGGAAGAGGUGAGUGGAAUUCCUAGUGUAGAGGUGAAAUUCGUAGAUAUUAGGAAGAACACCAGUGGCGAAGGCGGCUCACUGGUCCGGUACUGACGCUGAGGUGCGAAAGCGUGGGGAGCAAACAGGG